CAGCAGCCGCGGUAAUACGAAGGGGGCUAGCGUUGUUCGGAUUUACUGGGCGUAAAGCGCACGUAGGCGGACUUUUAAGUCAGGGGUGAAUUCCCGGGGCUCAACCCCGGAACUGCCUUUGAUACUGGGAGUCUUGAGUUCGAGAGAGGUGAGUGGAAUUGCGAGUGUAGAGGUGAAAUUCGUAGAUAUUCGCAGGAACACCAGUGGCGAAGGCGGCUCACUGGCUCAUACUGGACGCUGAGGUGCGAAAGCGUGGGGAGCAAACAGGAUUAGAUACCCGGGUAGUCCCUGUCUCUUAUAC
rnacentral:rRNA from 1 species